UACGUAGGGGGCAAGCGUUGUCCGGAAUCAUUGGGCGUAAAGAGCGCGUAGGCGGUCCGGUAAGUCCGCUCUGAAAGUCCGGGGCUCAACCCCGGGAGGCGGGCGGAUACUGUCGGGCUAGAGUCCGGAAGAGGCGAGUGGAAUUCCUGGUGUAGCGGUGAAAUGCGCAGAUAUCUGGAGGAACACCGGUGGCGAAGGCGGCAUCCUGGACCGGUAUUGACGCUGAGGCGCGAAAGCUAGGGGAGCAAACGGG
rnacentral:rRNA from 1 species